rnacentral:rRNA from 1 species
CCUACGGGGGGCAGCAGUAGGGAAUAUUGCUCAAUGGUGGUAACCCUGAAGCAGCAACGCCGCGUGUAGGAUGAAGGUUUUCGGAUUUUAAACUCCUUUUUUUAGGGAAGUUAAUUACGUUAUCUGAGGAAUAAGCACCGUCUAACUCCGUUCCAGCAGCCGCGGUAAUACGGAGGGUGCAAGCGUUACUCGGAAUCACUGGGCGUAAAGAGCGCGUAGGCGGGAUGGCAAGUCAGCAGUGAAAUCCUAUGGCUUAACCAUAGAACUGCAUUGGAAACUGUUUUUCUAGAGUAUGGGAGAGGUAGGUUGAAUUCUUGGUGUAGGGGUAAAAUCCGUAGAGAUCAAGAGGAAUACUCAUUGCGAAGGCGACCUGCUAGAACAUAACUGACGCUGAUGCGCGAAAGCGUGGGGAGCAAACAGGAUUAGAUACCCGAGUAGUC